CCUACGGGAGGCAGCAGUGAGGAAUAUUGGUCAAUGGACGAGAGUCUGAACCAGCCAAGUCGCGUGAAGGAUGACUGCUCUAUGUGUUGUAAACUUCUUUUAUAUGGGAAUAAAACAGGGUAUGCAUACCCUCUUGUAUGUACCAUAUGAAUAAGGAUCGGCUAACUCCGUGCCAGCAGCCGCGGUACUACGGAGGAUACGAGCGUUAUCCGGAUUUAUUGGGUUUAAAGGGAGCGUAGGUGGUUUGUUAAGUCAGUUGUGAAAGUUUGCGGCUCAACCGGAGAAGUGCAGUUGAAACUGGCAGUCUUGAGUGCAGUAGAGGAGGGCGGAAUUCGUGGUGUAGCGGUGAAAUGCUUAGAUAUCAGGAAGAACUCCGAUUGCGAAGGCAGCUCACUGGUCUGCAACUGACACUGAUGCUCGAAAGUGUGGGGAUCAAACAGGAUUAGAUACCCCAGUAGUC
rnacentral:rRNA from 1 species